rnacentral:rRNA from 1 species
UGGCGGCGUGCUUAACACAUGCAAGUCGAGCGAAGCGAUUUCAAGGAAGUUUUCGGAUGGAAUUGAAAUUGACUUAGCGGCGGACGGGUGAGUAACGCGUGGGUAACCUGCCUCAUACAGGGGGAUAACAGUUGGAAACGGCUGCUAAUACCGCAUAAGCACACAGUGCCGCAUGGUACGGUGUGAAAAACUCCGGUGGUAUGAGAUGGACCCGCGUCUGAUUAGGUAGUUGGUGAGGUAACGGCCCACCAAGCCGACGAUCAGUAGCCGACCUGAGAGGGUGACCGGCCACAUUGGGACUGAGACACGGCCCAAACUCCUACGGGAGGCAGCAGUGGGGAAUAUUGCACAAUGGGGGAAACCCUGAUGCAGCGACGCCGCGUGAGUGA